UUUCUGUACUUUUAAUUCUCGUCCAAAGUUUCAUACAGAUUUCCUUCCAUCCUCGUGCACGAUGCGUCCACUGGCACUAAAAUGAAAUUCAAUCCAGACUACAACUCCUUUGUUGGUUACGGCCGAUUCCAACAUAGGAGCUCUAUGUUUAAUUUCCUAUGUUCCGCAAUUGAUUCCUAAGGCCCAACUAUGCUCUGAUACCAACUUUGUCACGACUCAUUUCCGUGGGCCGGACCGGCACUAGGACCUGGGUGGACUUAAGGCCCCCGAAGCCCGUAGUAAGCCUA
rnacentral:lncRNA from 1 species